GGGAAGUAGAAGAAAGAGAAGUCAAAGCUGUUAGAUGAGAAAAGAAGGAAGUGUGAAUCCUUCAGUAUUAUAACCAGAAGAGGAAGGACGGACUUUAAUCGAUGAUUCACAGCCCAAAACUCAAACUCUCUCAGUCUGAUUAUCAGGAGAAGACGUUUAAAAGAAUAAGUCUGGUGAUAUUUUAUAUUUUUCUUCUUGUUGAUAUGAAUAUAUUGUGUGUGCAUCCACAGCCUGACACAUCUCAUGUGUUUGUGCCAUAGAGCUCCAUCCGCCGCUGGAAAUAGUCCCCAACAAAUGCACUGUUUCCUCCUGUGAGCGGCUGUUUCAGGAAGCUCCACUCCACAGGACAACGUGCUGAGUUUCACGUUAUAACGUGAUACAGAUCUUCCCAUUCUAGACUAAAGAAAACUGUGAUUCAUACAAUUUAGAUGAAACACAGUAGUGGAAACAUCACUAGGAUUAUUUUAUAUUUAAUUUCCAAAGAUGGAUCCUUUCACCUGAGUCUUACACACUGGAGCUUUAAAUGGUCUGUGAGCAACUCUCAUAUCUACUGUAAAGAGAGAGAGGAGGAGCCUGAGAACAGGGAAGUGUCAGACUCCAUUUUCACUGGGAUGAGCAGAAGGAAGAAAAGUGAGCAGUGUUUUUCCUCUCAGACUGAAGAUGAGUGGUUAUGAGGAGGAAGAGGAGGACAGAGCAGAGUCUCCAGGGUUCAGCUGUGUGUCUCUGAAGAGUGACCAGUCCAUGGAUCCUCCUCUAAAAUUCAGAAAUGAACCUGGACCCUCACACACAAAAGGUCAGGACCACAGACUGAGAGCAGAGUCUCCAGGGUCCAGCUGUGAGUCCCUGAAGAGUGACAAGUCCAUGGAACAUCCUCCACUCUUCAGUAAUGAACCUGGACCCUCACACACAGAAGAGAGGAAGAGGAGUCAUGUUUCUGAGGAGGAGCAGUCGUCCUGCUGUGCUUCGUGUC